rnacentral:tRNA from 1 species
CGGGAUGUAGCACAGCCCGGUAGUGCGCUACGUUCGGGACGUAGAGGUCGCUGGUUCGAAUCCAGUCAUCCCGA